rnacentral:rRNA from 1 species
UGAAGUUUCGUGCCGUUCCGACCUCGUUUGAUACGGUUAUGGUUAACCACACGGCCCCUCGGGCCCGACCCGAGCCCAGUCAACGUUUUGACCCGAUCAAAUCGGCCCGUGACCCGAAACGACCCUACUUGGGCCCUACAACAGCCACGUAAAGUUUCGGGAUGAUCCGACGUUCUUUCAUGGGGUUACGGACAAUCCACGCCAAACAAGCGUCACGGGCCGACCGAGCCGGGCCAACGGGCCCUCGGGACCCGAAAACUGAAUUUUUUUUCAUCCAAACCCAUUAAAACACGUUACCGAGGUCUCACGCAAAAUUUCAUGCCAAUCCGACGUCGUUUGAUGGGGUUUUGAGAUAUUAUGAUUCCUCAAAAAUUUAAUGUCUGUUCCUGUCACUUAGCUUUUUGUGCAAAAUGUAUAUAUAGGGGAGGGGUGGGUGUUGAGCAGCCCAUGCCCGGGCAAGGCAUGCCAGCGCCCAAGCCAAAGGAGGCUGGUGGCGUGCGUAUAACAGCUCAAAUGCCCCAACGAUGACCGAGAACAAGCGCCCAUCUCCCCUCCUUCCCCCCCACCAAGCGCCCCUCCCCCCCCCAUGUUGCCUGCCCACUCGCACAGCUACUCGUGAUUUCAUGCCCAGCGACUAGUGAAUGUGCCUCGACGACCAGCAAACCUCGAAAAUUAUGAUUCCUCGUAAAAUUAAUGUCUGUUCCUGUCACUUUACUUUUUGUGCAAAAUGUAUAUAUAGGGGAGACCAGGGGCUUGAGCAACCCCUGUGCCCAAGCAAGGGUCAGAUGGAAGCACACGAGACGCGAGGUUUAAAGCCUAUACAAGCAAGGCGUCUGUCUCCCCAAGCCCCAUUGCCUAUAAAACAAGCCCGAUGCCUUGUAAAUGCCCCACACGAUGCCUAUAAACGACAACGAUGUUUGCUAGUUAAUCGAUCGACGCCCCACACCUUGCAGCAUGUUGCCUAGUAAACAAGCCAUGCUGCCUUGGAAGCGCCCCACAUCAUGGCAUGUUGCCUAGCACGCUGCCCUUGUUUCCAGCACGGCGACCUGAAAGCGUGGCCUGACGACGUGCUUGCCUUCGAAAAUUAUGAUUCCUCAAAAAAUUAAUGUAUGUUCCUGUCACUUUACUUUUUGU